UAAUAGUUCGUAUUCAUAGUUUAUUUUAUUAGCUUUUUUUUAUGGAUUUUCCAAAUUUCGUAAAAUAUAAUUAAAAUGAAAAUUUAAGUGCUAAUUUGUAAAUAUGAAUCAAAUUUCUAAUUUAAAAGUGGAUGCAAUGUCUAUUAAAAUGUCAUGAAAAUGUAAAUUUUUUUUUAAGUACUCUUGUGCGAGAAAAGAAAAGAAAAAAAGGAGAACAGACGACAAAAAGUGAAAUUUUUUUCGCCUUGUGAUUGUCAAAAUUAAUUAAAAAAAAUUUAUUAAAUUUAUUUUAAAUCUUAUAUAUAUAUGAACUCUUUUAAAAUAAUUUUAUCGUAAAACAAAAGAUAAAUGAAACAAUAAUAAUGCCUGCUUCUGGUCGACCUGGUAGUCUCAAAGAUCCAGAAAUAGCGGAAUUAUUUAAUAAACAUGAUCCGGAAAAAAUAUUUGAAGAUCUUCGCGAAAUUGGCCAUGGUUCCUUUGGAGCAGUGUACUAUGCCCGGUGUAAUCUUACCAAAGAAAUUGUCGCAAUUAAAAAAAUGUCUUAUGCAGGCAAACAAAGCCUUGAAAAGUGGCAGGAUAUUCUAAAAGAAAUAAGAUUCCUUAGACAAUUAAAGCACUCAAACACAAUAGAAUAUAAAGGAUGCUAUCUUAGAGAAAGUACAGCAUGGUUAGUAAUGGAAUAUUGCGUUGGAUCUGCAUCUGAUAUUAUAGAAGUUCAUAAAAUGCCUUUACAUGAAGAAGAAAUUUCUGCCAUUUGCGAAGGGUGUUUGUCAGGAUUAAGCUAUUUACAUAGUUUAGGACGAAUUCAUAGAGAUAUAAAAGCAGGAAAUAUUCUUCUAACUGAACAAGGAAUAGUAAAAUUAGCAGAUUUUGGAAGCGCUGCUAUCAAAUGUCCUGCUAACAGUUUUGUUGGUACACCUUACUGGAUGGCACCAGAAGUUAUAUUAGCAAUGGAUGAAGGUCAAUAUGAUGGCAAAGUUGACGUUUGGUCAUUAGGCAUAACUUGCAUUGAAUUAGCAGAAAGAAAACCUCCUUAUUUUAAUAUGAAUGCUAUGUCAGCUCUAUAUCAUAUUGCUCAAAAUGAUUCACCAUCAUUACAAGGAGAAGAUUGGUCUGAUACAUUUAGGCAUUUUGUAGAAUCUUGUUUGAAAAAAUCUCCUAGUGAUAGGCCAACUUCUUUAGAGUUGUUAAAACACACAUAUUUAACACGCCAACGAUCAAAUAAUGUUCUUAUAGAAUUAAUAGCACGUACCAAGGCUGCUGUUAGAGAACUAGAUAACUUGAAUUAUAGAAAAAUGAAAAAAAUUCUAAUGAUAGAUUCAUGUGAAACUGAAAGUGCAAUUGGUGAUGCGAGCGAUACUCAAGAUGAACAAGCUGGUGCUGAUAGUAGUAAGAGUAAUAGCAUUACAUCAGAACAUUCAAUCCAAUCUGUCGGAGUAUCUGCGGCCAGUAGUCAAGUAAUAAUUAGCUCAUCGUCAAAUUCAAUUCCGCCUGGCAUUAACUCCAGUGGCAAUAUGCACGGCCUUCCGUCUCAACAUGGUGGUAUCAAUUACCAAAAUUCACCAAAUUCGCCUAACAUAAAUAUGUACCAAAAUAUGGUUAAUAUAAAUGCUAUGGCUGCAGCAGCUGGUACUGGUGCUAUAUCACGAAAUUCAUCACGUCAUAGAAAUUUACCACCUUUACCAAAUGUCAUGCAUAAUAUGAAUAAUAAUGUAACUCCAACAAAUUCAACUUCAAUUGUUCCAGCACCCACAACUUCAGCAUCAUCAACGAUUACAAACAAUUCAUCUGGAAGUUCUACCACCAGUUUUAUGUCGAGCACUAAUAGUAUGCUAGGACACUUACAGCAACCAGGUUAUUUGUCAUCUCCAGCAGCAAGAGAAGCCGUUUUAGCUGCUGCAGCUAGCUCAACACAUCAUGCUAAUUCGAAUGCAAUGCACGAGCACGGAACAAAUAAUUUCGCUACAAUUCGAACAACUAGCAUUGUUACAAAACAACAAAAGGAACAUAGUAAACAGUAUAAUAGUUUAAAUAUAACAAUUAGAACAAACAACGCCAACGAUUAUUAUCCUUGUUCACCAUUAUGCGGAAGUAAAACUUAUUUGUCACUUAAACAUCAUGGAUGUACCUAUGCAUAUUUAUUUCUGCCGACGUAUAAUCAGGAAAAAUACUAUGAGGAGAUGCAUGAGCAAAUGUCUGGGUACAAAAGAAUGCGUCGCGAACAUCAAAGUGCUUUACUUAAACUGGAAGAAAAAUGUAAAGUUGAAAUGGAAGCACAUAAAGCUUGCCUUGAUAAAGAAUAUGAAAAUUUAUUAAAUACAUUUUCAAAGGAUUUGGAAAAAUUAUCGACAAAACAUCAGCAAGAAUUAGAGCGGCGUGCUAAACAAAAUUUGGCUUCCGAAAAGAAAUUACAUAAAGAAAUUACUUUAAAACAAGAAAAUGAGCGCAAAGCAUUUGAUAUGCACCAAAAACGAGAAUAUAAAAUGAAUAAGGAGAGAUGGAAGCGUGAAUUGUCAAUGGAUGAUUCAACUCCUAAAAGGCAACGAGAUUUAACGUUACAAACGCAAAAGGAGGAUUUGAAAAAAGCAGAAGCUGAAGAAGAGGAACGUUUGAUACGCGUUCAUAAAUAUUAUCUUCAACUGGAAAUGAGAAAAUUCAAAAGAAAACGAAUGUUAUUGCUACAUGAAUUGCAAAGUCAAUUAUUGGGAGAUGAAUUGAGCAAGAAACAGCAACAAUUAGAACAAGCGCAUUCAAUGUUAUUAAAGCAUCAUGAAAAAACUCAGGAAUUAGAAUAUAAGCAGUUAAAAAGUGUUCAUAAUCUAAGGGAGGAGCAAAUAUCUAAACAACAUUCAACAGAGCUUCAGAACCAACAAAAUUAUAUGGAAGCAGCCAAAAAAGAGUUAAUAAGAAGACACGCCUUAGAACUUAAACAACAGCCAAAGAGUUUGAAACAAAAGGAGCUACAAAUUCGAAAACAAUUUCGGGAAACUUGCAAAACGCAAACACGACAAUAUAAGGCAUUAAAAGCGCAAAUUUUGCAAACUACACCAAAAGAACAUCAGAAGGGUGUAAUAAAACAAUUAAAAGAUGAGAAGAAAAGAAAAUUAGCUUUACUGGGCGAACAGUAUGAACAAAGUAUUGCUGAUAUGCAUUGUAAACAAACAUUACGUUUAGAUGAAAGUCAAGAAAUUGAAGAUCAGCAAUUGCAAGAGCGAUUAAAAUAUGAAUUAGAUAUUUUAAUGAACUAUCAAAGUAAAAAUAAGAGUCAAGCUCAAGCACAACGUGACCGAGAGCGCAAAGAAUUGGAGGAUCGUGUUAAUAUACGCAGGUCAUUAUUACAAAGCAAGAUGGAAGCCGAAUUACAACAAUUCAAUCAUGAAAGUGCCGAAAGAGCACGAUUAUUACAAGAAAAACAACAGAAAGAAGCAGAAGCCUUUGACGACGAAUCAUUAUCUUUAGGAUUCAGUUCUCUUGAAAUUAGCGAAGAAUCAAAAGAACCUUUUCCAGAUCUAACUGGAAGUUUAUCUGGUUCUAUGAUAAGUUUAGCACAUAGUCAAUCUUCAACUGGUUUUCCAUAUACUCCUGGGUCUCUAUAGCACACUUAUACAUCACGACGUUCUGUAACCACUCUUAGUGGUACAACAAAAUCCACAUCAUCAUCACUUUCAUCAACAUUAACUAAAUCAACAUCGGUAAAAAGGAAACAUAAUUUAAAUAUUAAUCAAAAUUUAUUGACAUCUACAGUUGUUGAAGAAAAUCACAAUAAAAAUGGACAAUGCAGUGAUGAUAGUAAUGAAGAAAAUUUAAGAAGAAUGUCUAUUUCUUCUAUAUACCCAAAAUAAAUGGAAUAUAAAUUUUAUGUAUAUUCAAAAUAUCUGGCAAAAAAUAAACAUUUUUGGACAAAAAAUUUAACAAAAAAAACAACUUGGAAAAUAUUAACUAAGUAUAUAAUAAUAUAAUUCUGCAGGAAUUCAAUUCCGGAAAAAAAAUAAUAAAGAAUUAAAUUUAUGUAUAAAAAAAAAAAUAAUAUAAAAAGAAAGAAAGCAAUUAAAUUAAAAAAUAUUAAAGUGAAAAACACAACAACUCUCUCAUAAUUAAAAUUGUGUAGUUGUUAUUUAUUUUGUAUUUAGG